rnacentral:rRNA from 1 species
UAAUAGCUCACUGGUCGAGUCGGCCUGCGCGGAAGAUGUAACGGGGCUAAACCAUGCACCGAAGCUGCGGCAGCGACACUAUGUGUUGUUGGGUAGGGGAGCGUUCUGUAAGCCUGCGAAGGUGACCUGUGAGGGUUGCUGGAGGUAUCAGAAGUGCGAAUGCUGACAUAAGUAACGAUAAAGCGGGUGAAAAGCCCGCUCG